rnacentral:lncRNA from 1 species
GUCCUGAAGAAGACACCAAGCAGUGCGAACUCUUGUUUGUGAACAGUGAGGUCUAGGGUUUAAACUUCACCGCUCAUCCAUCCUCAAGUAAAAAAAAUAAAAAAAUCAUAGUUCACAAAGUAUAAGUUUCUAGUCAUUUUAUUGUAAUCUAUAUAAUAUAUAAUAACAACCCCGGAUUUUAUAAAUAGUAACUUACUUUCAGCCCAAUUAAUAAUUUCUAGAUCUGGAAACUAUGUUUUCGUAACUUCCAUUUAUUAUAUAUAAUCUAGAUAAUAGUAUAUUCACAAUCUUUAUAAUUUCCAGCCCGAUUAUUUUUAUAACUUCCGUUUCGAAUACUUAUCUUUAAGCCUAUUGAUAACUACCAUAUGUAGCUCUGU